GUCCACGCCGUAACGGUGGGCGCUAGGUGUGGGAACAUUCCACGUUCUCCGUGCCGCAGCUAACGCAUUAAGCGCCCGCCUGGGGAGUACGGCCGCAAGGCUAAACUCAAAGGAAUUGACGGGGCCCGCACAAGCGGCGGAGCAUGCGGCUUAAUUCGAUGCAACGCGAAGAACCUUACCUAGGCUUGACAGUUGGGGAAAUCUGGCAGAGAUGUCAGGUCCGCAAGGGCCCCAAAACAGGUGGUGCAUGGCUGUCGU
rnacentral:rRNA from 1 species